GUGCUCACUUCAGCAGCACAUAUACUAAAAUUGGAACAAUACAGAGGUUAGCAUGGCACCUGCGCAAGGAUGACACACAAAUUCAUGAAGUGUUCCAUACUUUU
rnacentral:snRNA from 1 species